GAUGAACGCUGGCGGCGUGCCUAAUACAUGCAAGUCGAGCGAAUGGAUUGAGAGCUUGCUCUUAUGAAGUUAGCGGCGGACGGGUGAGUAACACGUGGGUAACCUGCCCAUAAGACUGGGAUAACUCCGGGAAACCGGGGCUAAUACCGGAUAACAUUUUGAACCGCAUGGUUCGAAAUUGAAAGGCGGCUUCGGCUGUCACUUAUGGAUGGACCCGCGUCGCAUUAGCUAGUUGGUGAGGUAACGGCUCACCAAGGCAACGAUGCGUAGCCGACCUGAGAGGGUGAUCGGCCACACUGGGACUGAGACACGGCCCAGACUCCUACGGGAGGCAGCAGUAGGGAAUCUUCCGCAAUGAACGAAAGUCUGACGGAGUAACGCCGCGUGAGUGAUGAAGGCUUUCGGGUCGUAAAACUCUGUUGUUAGGGAAGAACAAGUGCUAGUUGAAUAAGCUGGCACCUUGACGGUACCUAACCAGAAAGCCACGGCUAACUACGUGCCAGCAGCCGCAGUAA
rnacentral:rRNA from 1 species